GCCUAUUUCUAGACACCCAGCAUUAUUAUACUCAGUAAAAGACACAUCUAAGAAGUCCUUUUCCUUCUUCGCUCACAGGCUGUUGUGUCGGAUGACCACUACUGAAUUAUAGCUUCUAAUUUUUUAAGAAGGGAAAAGGAAUUAAACCCCUGAGCCCUCCCAGCUGCAUAUUCAACACUUUUUCUUCUAAAGUACCAAAAUACGCAAGUUGUAUUUUCUUCCUCAGCCUGCAAAGAAAAUAAGGUAAUGGAAAAUUAACUCUAUU
rnacentral:lncRNA from 1 species